rnacentral:rRNA from 1 species
AAAAUAGCAUAUAAGUAGGUGGAGAAAAAGAAACUAAACAGGAUUCCCUUAGUAAUAGCGAAUGAAUAGGGACAAGUGCAGUGUCAUAAUCAAGGCUUGUCCUUGACGUGUAGUCUCAAGACCCCCAUCCAAUUGAGGGUGCAGGUGUGAGCCCCUUGGAAUAGAGCGCCAGCGAGGGUUAGAGCCCCGUCCACCACUUGCAAUCCUCGAUGCAUGGUGAGGUGUCCGAGAGUCGUGUUCUCUGGGAUUGGAGUGCAAAGCGGGUGGUACGUUUCACCCAACACUAAAUGAUUGCUCGAGACCGAUAGCAGAUAAGUACCAUGAGGGAAGGGUGAAAAGGACUUUGGAAAGAGGGUUAAGAGUUCAUGAAACUGCUGAAAGGGAAGUGAAUUGAACCCAUGCUCCUGGUGGGGUUGCUGUGUGCGACAGCGACGGUGCUCUGUUUAACGCAGUGCGCUCUGAGCUAGCUGCGCAUGGUGCUUCCUUCUGGGUGUUGUUAAGAUGUGUGCGUGUGUGGGAAAACAGUCGUGUGGAAUGAAUGUUCGGCUGCGACUGAGCCAAAGCCACUGAUUGCUCUCACAUGCGGACGCAUUGCUUGUGCACCAGAGGAAUUGUUCUUUUGAUGCCGACAUUGACGAUGUGGUUUAGCUCGUCCCGUCUUGAAACACGGACCAAGGAGUCUAGCGCGUGUGCGAGCCUCAUGGACAGGAACCUGACGGCGAAAUGAAAGUAAUGGCUUGGAUAUCUGCACCAGCGACCGACGGCUCUAUUGCGAGAUGUUUGAGUUUGAGCACACCUGCUAGCACCCGAAAGGUGGUGAACUAUGCCUGAGAAGUGUAAAGUCAGGGGAAACUCUGAUGGAAGCUCGUAGUGAUACUGACGUGCAAAUCGUUCGUCUGACUUGGGUAUAGGGGCGAAAGACUAAUCGAACCGCCUAGUA